GAGCGCUUGGUGGGAAGGCAGGGCAAACUCAGGGAGCUCAGGCGCGUGCAAUGAACCUGAGUCACCAGAAGGGGUGCAGCCUGGCUUCCCAGACCUCAUUUAGGGGUCAGCAGUGAAAGUAAGGGUAUCUUGCUGGAGAUCUCUGCAUAUCUGGGCCUUCUGAAGUUGAAAGAAAAGGAGAGUGGAAGUUCCUGCUUGUAUGCAACUUGAUGAAAAGAAAAGAGAUUAGGGAUUUUGUUUGGCCAUUACCUGAAUACUACACUGUGAAACAAGAACCCAUUUUCUCUUGAAGCUAUUCCACCUCCAAUUAUGUAUGAACACUCUUCUCUCUAUAUGAGUGCUUAUUUAAA